CCUACGGGUGGCUGCAGUGGGGAAUAUUGGGCAAUGGGCGCAAGCCUGACCCAGCAACGCCGCGUGAAGGAAGAAGGCUUUCGGGUUGUAAACUUCUUUUCUGAGGGGCGAAGAAAGUGACGGUACCUCAGGAAUAAGCCACGGCUAACUACGUGCCAGCAGCCGCGGUAAUACGUAGGUGGCAAGCGUUAUCCGGAUUUAUUGGGUGUAAAGGGCGUGUAGGCGGGAAGGCAAGUCAGAUGUGAAAACUCAGGGCUCAACCCUGUGCCUGCAUUUGAAACUGGUUUUCUUGAGUGCUGGAGAGGCAAUCGGAAUUCCGGGUGUAGCGGUGAAAUGCGUAGAUAUACGGAAGAACACCAGUGGCGAAGGCGGAUUACUGGACAGUAACUGACGCUGAGGCGCGAAAGCGUGGGGAGCAAACAGGAUUAGAUACCCUUGUAGUC
rnacentral:rRNA from 1 species